UAAAUCCUUAAUCCACUGGGAGUUACUUUCAUCUUUUUCCAUAUGGACAACUAUUUUUUUCUAGCUCUACUGAUUGAGAGGUUUCCCCUGUUUCCACCAACCUGCAAAGCCAUUGGUUCCACCCACACAAAAAUUUGUUCCUGAGUUCUCUGUCCAAUCCUGGUGCCCAUCUGUUUAUCCAGGCAAAAAUCUCACAUCACUUCCACUGCUAUAAUUUCUUAACAAUCCCAACAUGCGGUGGAAAAAUCUCGCUCCCUCUUCAGAAGUGUCCUGGCUAUUCCUGUUUUUUUAGUCUUCCAUAUGCAUUUUAGAAUAAUCACAUCAAGUCUCACGGAACACAUUUUUGGGAUUUUGGUUGGACGUCCCCCAACCCCUGUCCCUGCCUGGCCAUGCUGGGGAGAUGCCCACCUUCUCCAGGGGCUUCGCUGCAAGGGACAGGCCUGACACCAGGAUUCUCCAAGAACUGCCUGCGUCUCUUCCUGCUGAGCACUCACCUCACCGAAACCACAACAGGGCCCCAGGAUGAGAGAGUCUUUCGUUCCCCUUUUCACAGAUGAGGAAACAGAGUCACAGAGAGGCUGAGGAAUGUUCCCGAAGUCACAAACCCGGCGAGUCCUGGAGUCAGGCCUCGAGCUCUGAGCCGGGCGGAAACUCAGUGGGGGUCUCUGGAGAAGGCCUGAGCCACAGGCGCCACUCCCUAUGGCUGAGGCUACAAAGCCUGUGGCACCCCCACAGCUGCUCCACAAAUGGCUCCCAGAAGUGCUGACUCCCCGGUCCUUAAUGGUUGGAGGCCCUGAAGUUGGAGGCCUGGUCUGAGCCGCCUCCGAGGAGGCAGAGCCCCUGCGUCCAGGUGGGGGCUGCUGGGCCUGUGGGCAGAGGGGGUGUCAUGGGGCCCAUGGGUGAGGAGCCACUGCUAUGGGAAGGAGGCCGCCUGGCCGCUGGGUCACCCUCACGCUCACAGUGAGCUGGGCUUUGUCCUGCCUAGAGGAACAGGAAAAGGAGCUGCGUUGGUUUCCAGUCACAGUGUGGGGAGAGAAGCCCAUGAAAUCCCCUGGAUAUGGCUCACAGAGCCAAGAGUAAGUUGCAAAAAGGUGCAGUGCCUGGGCCCCAUGGCUGAGUCCUUACUCGCAUGCUCGCCAGGGCAUUGCUCCCGGCACGAGGCCGCCCGCCUGCAGCAGGUCCGCAGGGGCACGGUGGGUCCCCGCCUGCUCCUCAUGCCUUGAGCGCGUCAUCCUUCCCGGGGUUCACGGCCUCUGACAGCCAGACCUCAACACGGCCAGCACGGUGUGCAUGGUGUGGACGCCUCCUGCGCCGGGGCCACCAGAGUGGGCUCUCACCGGAGGAGAAAGACAGUCGGGGAGAGCAGCGCUGUCUGUCACGCUUUGUCACGCUUUGCCGGUGUCAUCUGAGAAGUGGUGCAGGGGACACGGGGGCGUGACAGGACUGCUCCUGCAGUAGAGACCCUCUGUGGUGGUGUUCCUGGAACUCUCCCGAAGCCUCUCUUGUUGACAUGCAUGCCUCACUGAGGAGGGCACACAGCAGAGCUGAGUUAUACGCACACCCUGCAAUCAAACAUGCCCCACAUCACACCUGGAGUCACGCAGACCCCAGGCAGCCUGCACAAAAUGCCAAACAAGAAAAAACUGCAAGAAAACGACCGCCACACGCCUUUCUAGAACAUGCAACCUAAGGAUCAAAUCCCACAACCAAAGGUGCACAGAGAGGUGUUGGGGAGAGGACAAGGGCAGCCUCCACACUAGAGGACAGAGCGGGGCUGGCGUGGCAGCCACAGGGACACAGCAGGCCCAUCCAAGACAGGAGGAGGCCUGGAGCCAGCAAGGGACAACUGACAUCUUCACAAUAUUGAAACUUCUGAUCAAGUAUCUUCCGAGUCUUCAUAUUCCCUGCUGUGGCCCCACCUGCCCAGGAAGCAAGACAGACACCUGUGGUGCAGGCCCCAGACUUGAGGAAUCUGCUACCGCUUCUUGGAACCCAGACACGGUCCUAAGCCUGCUCCACCUGCUCCACCCCAGGACCUUUGCCGGAGCUGCCCUCGGUCCUGGAUGCUCUCUCCUCCCUGCGCACCCCACAGCCCAUUCCUCCACAGCCCAUGAGCCCUCCCCUGGUCCCUGCAAUGAGCCAUGGCCACUCCCCUGCUCCCCACACCUGUGCUCCAAGGCCCCCCAGGGACCUGGCACGUCCGUCUCUUUGGGGGCACUGGUUUGAGCCUGCCCCUACCAGAGGGCACAGAGCCUCCGGGACCCUGGUGGAGGGACAAACAGGGCCGAGCAGAGCUCCAUGUGGACGCUGGGCGCUGCCCUCAGAGCACCUGCGGGUGUCUGUGCAGAAGGGCCCGGGAGGAGGAAACAAUACAACUCUAAUAGAAAGAGGGGAUGCUACAGAGCCUAUGGGGACACAGCCAAGAGGCCAAGGUAAGGCCCCAAGUGAAAUGAAUGAGCAAAAAGAGUUCGUACAGCUACCAGGUAAGCAGUCACAUGUGUUUCAUAGUAGCUGCGUCUCCUACUGAUCACACCCCCAUAGUCCCCAAAGGUGGGGAGUGGGGCAGGAGAGAGGUAGGCCAACUCGGGCCACAGGUGGGCUGGCACCCGCCCUGCCCCAGCCCCUCCCUCCUGGGAGCCGCAGACAGGCCCCCAGGGCAGUGCAUCAGGCCACACCUGCAGAGACCUGCUUCCCCUGGCAGCAGGCACCUCCCCUGACGGAAGACUUAGGAAUGGGUUGGGUUGGGUGGAAGUGGUGCCCCAGGGCAGGUGAGAUGGAAGAGGUGAAAGAGACCUGCACUGCAGGGUUAAUGGACGGGGGCCAGACAGACCAGAAGCCUCGGGAGGAGAAGCCACCAGGACCCAGGACACAUGAACACCCCUGACACACACUCACACGCACACAGGCUGACACACAUGCACACACGGUACAUAGUUACAGAAACACACACAUGCACACACACACAGCACAGAGAGACAUGCACACACAUGCACACAAGGUACGGUCACAGACACACACACAGCAGACACACAGACACACCCACUGCACUGCAGAGACACCACCAAACCCUGAUACACACAGACUCACUCCUCCAUCCACCUGAGAAACAAAAGUUUUGCAGAAGUGUGGGAUGACCACUUCUACUCUAUGCUGUUCUCCUUAAUCUUUUUAUUUUUAAAAAAUGUGGGUCAUAAUCCUUUACAUUGAUUUCCUUCCUCACUGCACCGCAAGCACUCAGAGAAGGACUCCAGGUUUGAAGGCAGAUGCUGGUGGGGACCCGGCCAGGUGGCUGGGCGGGAAAAGGUGAGAUGGGGCAGGAUUGGGCCUGGGAAGGCUGAGGCAGGCAGGGAUGAUGCCAGCAGAGGAGAAUCCCAAGCAGGCCCCGCGGCUGCGGCUGGAGAGCUCCAGGGGCGGAGAGGAGGUGGGAGGCAGCAGUCAGGUUGGGAGGACCCUGGCAAGCAAGCCCAGAGAGGAGGGCUGGGAGGGCCGGGCACUAGAAGUGUGAAGUCACUGCUGCCUCCUGGGGCUGCUUCAGAGGAUGGGUGGGGUCACGUGUGGGGAUACCAGGGAGACUGGAGACUACGCUGUUUGGUCCAGGCAUAGGAGAUGAGCCCUGGCCGGGAAGGGACAGUGUGGAUGGGCCAGGCGGAAUCAGAGGGUUUCAGAGAAAGCCGUCGAGCCAGUGCCAUGAGUUUCGUGCACACGAGGAGGGAGCAGGCUGGGGGGGGUGUUGCUGGUGUGAGGGCUCUCUGGUUGCAGGCAGCGGUCCGGUUGGGUGGGGGCACAGCUGCCAGGAGGAAAGCGCCCAGGGCCUGCAGGUGGGGCUCAGGAUGCUGGCCCUGAAGAAAUAGAAACAGGGUUUUCACCUGGGAGGGAGGAGGAGCCUGGGAACUGGGGAGGAAGAGGCUCUGCUGGGCCGCGUCCUGGGAACAGGGAGACCUGGGGACAGAUCUGGCCCUCGCACGCCCCUCCUGUCUCGCGUCCGUCCCUCCGUGCAGCCGGGGCAGGACCCUGCAGGGGCCUUGCGGGCCGGAGGUGCCGGCUUCCUCCUCCAUCCCGUCCCCCCCGCGGUGAAUCUCUUUAUUCAAAUCUCCCCCCUUCCCGCUGCCCCGCCGGACUCGGGCUGGGGUCGUAGCCCGGCGGGCAGCGGUGUUCACCUUCCGCAUAAACCUGGGCUUCCUCGCGGGGCAGCCCCCGGGCCCUAUGCUGGGUCGCAGCCUCGGGCGGUUCCCUCGGGGCGGGACGUGUCCCCGUCCGUCCUCGCCCGUCCCCGCCGCCCCCGGGUCCCGGCCCGCCCCGUCCUCGCAGCCGCAGGUCCGCUGCGGCGCCCGCCCCCCUCUCCCCUCCCCGGGCCUUGCCCUGCUCGUC